AUGUGUAUGUCUUGAAACACGGACCAAGGAGUCUAACAUGCGCGCGAGUCGUUGGGUCGGACACGCUCCGCUAAACCCAUAGGCGCAAUGAAAGUGAAGGUCACCCUCGCGGGACCGAGGGAGGACGGAGGCGCCUCACAGCGCCUCCCGCACUCCCGGGGCGUCUGAUUCCUCUUUUUGAGGGAAGGCGCACCCAGAGCGCACACGUUGGGACCCGAAAGAGGUGAACUAUUA
rnacentral:rRNA from 1 species